rnacentral:rRNA from 1 species
UACGUAGGGGGCAAGCGUUGUCCGGAAUCAUUGGGCGUAAAGCGCGCGUAGGCGGCCCGGUAAGUCCGCUGUGAAAGUCAAAGGCUCAACCUUUGAAAGCCGGUGGAUACUGUCGGGCUAGAGUCCGGAAGAGGCGAGUGGAAUUCCUGGUGUAGCGGUGGAAUGCGCAGAUAUCAGGAGGAACACCGAUAGCGAAGGCAGCUCGCUGGGACGGUACUGACGCUGAGGCGCGAAAGCGUGGGGAGCGAACAGGAUUAGAUACCCCUGUAGUCC